UUUCUCGCUUUUUAUUUUCUUUUCUUUGAUUUUCUUUUAUUUUGUCGCUUUUUAUUACAUUUUUGGUUACUUCGCGAUAAAUAACAUGGAACAAAUAAAUGCGAAACUUCAGAUUGAUUGGAAAACUAUUGAUUUGACCAAGCGAAAUAUUUGACGAGCGACAAUUUGAAUAUCCACCAAUUCGAUGGCCAGAAAUAAGGUGUUUGGAAUCUAUAAAACGUGUUGUCGUUUUUGACUGUGAGACAGUGAUCGUCGAUGGGAAAAAAGUAUCCAUGGGAGGCCAUAAGAUGCGCAACGUGGAGGGCCUCUGUAAAAAUUUCUGACAUACCAAAUAUUCAAAACGUACCUUGAUCAUCGAUGUCCAUGUUCUUCAUCAUCCAGAUUAUUAAGUCUGUUCCUAAUGUAGAAGAGAAAGA